rnacentral:rRNA from 1 species
UACGUAGGUGGCAAGCGUUGUCCGGAUUUACUGGGCGUAAAGAGCGCGCAGGCGGUCGCUCAAGUCGCGUGUGAAAGCCCCCGGCUCAACUGGGGAGGGUCACGCGAUACUGAUCGACUGGAAGGCAGGAGAGGGUAGUGGAAUUCCCGGUGUAGUGGUGAAAUGCGCAGAUAUCGGGAGGAACACCAGUAGCGAAGGCGACACUCUGGGCCGGUACUGACGCUGAGGAGCGAAAGCGUGGGGAGCAAACAGG